CCUACGGGAGGCAGCAGUGGGGGAUAUUGCACAAUGGGGGAAACCCUGAUGCAGCGACGCCGCGUGUGGGAAGACGGUCCUCUGGAUUGUAAACCACUGUCCCCAGGGACGAAGAUGACGGUACCUGGGGAGGAAGCUCCGGCUAACUACGUGCCAGCAGCCGCGGGAAUACGUAGGGAGCGAGCGUUGUCCGGAAUUACUGGGUGUAAAGGGAGCGUAGGCGGGACUGCAAGUUGGGUGUCAAAUCUACCGGCUCAACCGGUAGCCGCACUCAAAACUGCAGUUCUUGAGUGAAGUAGAGGCAGGCGGAAUUCCUAGUGUAGCGGUGAAAUGCGUAGAUAUUAGGAGGAACACCAGUGGCGAAGGCGGCCUGCUGGGCUUUUACUGACGCUGAGGCUCGAAAGUGUGGGGAGUAAACAGGAUUAGAUACCCUGGUAGUC
rnacentral:rRNA from 1 species